AGUUUUUAGAAAUGGGCUCACAGCUGUACCUUUGUCUCUGUGAUAAUGCGAAAGUAUGGCGAUACUGUCAGACUGAUUGGAUCAGCACCUAUGCAUUGAAUGACACUGUUAUACUGAUGAG